rnacentral:rRNA from 1 species
AAGUCCCGCAAGGGAUCAGUAGAGUGGCAAACGGGUGAGUAACGCGUGGGCGACCUACCUCUGAGUGGGGGAUAACCUUCCGAAAGGAGGGCUAAUACCGCAUGACAUCCCGUGUUUGGGUACACGGACAUCAAAGCCGGGGAUCGCAAGACCUGGCGCUUGGAGAGGGGCCCGCGUCCGAUUAGCUAGUUGGUGAGGUAACGGCUCACCAAGGCUCCGAUCGGUAUCCGGCCUGAGAGGGCGGACGGACACACUGGGACUGAGACACGGCCCAGACUCCUACGGGAGGCAGCAGUGGGGAAUUGUUCGCAAUGGGCGCAAGCCUGACGACGCAACGCCGCGUGGAGGAUGAAGACCUUCGGG